AACGAACGCUGGCGGCAGGCUUAACACAUGCAAGUCGAACGCCACCUUCGGGUGGAGUGGCAGACGGGUGAGUAACGCGUGGGAACGUACCUUUUGGUUCGGAAUAUUCUCGGGAAACUGAGAGCAAUACCGGAUAAGCCCUUCGGGGAAAGAUUAUCGCCAAAAGAUCGGCCCGCGUUAGAUUAGGUAGUUGGUAGGGUAAUGGCCUACCAAGCCUACGAUCUAUAGCUGGUCUGAGAGGAUGAUCAGCCACAUUGGGACUGAGACACGGCCCAAACUCCUACGGGAGGCAGCAGUGGGGAAUAUUGGACAAUGGGCGAAAGCCUGAUCCAGCCAUGCCGCGUGAAUGAUGAAGGCCUUAGGGUUGUAAAAUUCUUUCAACGGGGACGAUAAUGACGGUACCCGUAGAAGAAGCCCGGCUAACUUCGUGCCAGCAGCCGCGGUAAUG
rnacentral:rRNA from 1 species